rnacentral:rRNA from 1 species
GAUGAACGCUGGCGGCGUGCCUAAUACAUGCAAGUCGAGCGAACAGACGAGGAGCUUGCUCCUCUGACGUUAGCGGCGGACGGGUGAGUAACACGUGGAUAACCUACCUAUAAGACUGGGAUAACUUCGGGAAACCGGAGCUAAUACCGGAUAAUAUAUUGAACCGCAUGGUUCAAUAGUGAAAGACGGUUUUGCUGUCACUUAUAGAUGGAUCCGCGCCGCAUUAGCUAGUUGGUAAGGUAACGGCUUACCAAGGCAACGAUGCGUAGCCGACCUGAGAGGGUGAUCGGCCACACUGGAACUGAGACACGGUCCAGACUCCUACGGGAGGCAGCAGUAGGGAAUCUUCCGCAAGGGGCGAAAGCUUGACGGAGCAACGCCGCGUGAGUGAUGAAGGGCUUCGGAUCGUAAAACUCUGUUAUUAGGGAAGAACAAAUGUGUAAGUAACUAUGCACGUCUUGACGGUACCUAAUCAGAAAGCCACGGCUAACUACGUGC